GCCCUGAUGUGGGGGAUAACCAUUGGAAACGAUGGCUAAUACCGCAUGAUAGCUUCGGCUCAAAGAGGGGGACCUUCGGGCCUCUCGCGUCAGGAUAUGCCCAGGUGGGAUUAGCUAGUUGGUGAGGUAAGGGCUCACCAAGGCGACGAUCCCUAGCUGGUCUGAGAGGAUGAUCAGCCACACUGGAACUGAGACACGGUCCAGACUCCUACGGGAGGCAGCAGUGGGGAAUAUUGCACAAUGGGCGCAAGCCUGAUGCAGCCAUGCCGCGUGUGUGAAGAAGGCCUUCGGGUUGUAAAGCACUUUCAGUCGUGAGGAAGGUGGUAGUGUUAAUAGCACUAUCAUUUGACGUUAGCGACAGAAGAAGCACCGGCUAACUGCGUGCCA
rnacentral:rRNA from 1 species